CCUACGGGAUGCACCAGUGGGGAAUAUUGCACAAUGGGCGCAAGCCUGAUGCAGCCAUGCCGCGUGUGUGAAGAAGGCCUUCGGGUUGUAAAGCACUUUCAGCGAGGAGGAAGGUGGUGAGCUUAAUACGCUCAUCAAUUGACGUUACUCGCAGAAGAAGCACCGGCUAACUCCGUGCCAGCAGCCGCGGUAAUACGGAGGGUGCAAGCGUUAAUCGGAAUUACUGGGCGUAAAGCGCACGCAGGCGGUUUGUUAAGUCAGAUGUGAAAUCCCCGGGCUCAACCUGGGAACUGCAUUUGAAACUGGCAAGCUAGAGUCUCGUAGAGGGGGGUAGAAUUCCAGGUGUAGCGGUGAAAUGCGUAGAGAUCUGGAGGAAUACCGGUGGCGAAGGCGGCCCCCUGGACGAAGACUGACGCUCAGGUGCGAAAGCGUGGGGAGCAAACAGGAUUAGAUACCCCUGUAGUC
rnacentral:rRNA from 1 species